CCUACGAGAGACCGCAGUGAGGAAUAUUUGUCAAUGGACGAGAGUCUGAACCAGCCAAGUAGCGUGAAGGAUGACUGCCCUAUGGUUUGUAAACUUCUUUUAUAUGGGAAUAAAAUGUUCCACGUGUGGCAUUUUGUAUGUACCAUAUGAAUAAGGCUCUGCUAACUCCGUGCCAGCAGCCGCGGUAAUACGGAGGUUCCGAGUGUUAUCCGGAUUUAUUGGGUUUAAAGGGAGAGUAGGUGGAUUGUUAAGUCAGUGGUGAAAGUUUGCGGUCUAACCGUAUAAUUGUAGUUGAUACUGGUAGUCUGGAGUACAGUAGAGGUGGGCGGAAUGCGUGGUGUAGCGGUGAAAUGCUUAGAUAUCACGAAGAACUCCGAUUGCGAAGGCAGCUCACUGGACUGCAACUGACACUGAGGCUCGAAAGUGUGGGUAUCAAACAGGAUUAGAUACCCCAGUAGUC
rnacentral:rRNA from 1 species